rnacentral:lncRNA from 1 species
UUUUUUUUACUCUUUCCGGUUGGUUUUUUUUUUUUUAUCAAUUUUCCUCUAUUUCUCCCUCUUUUUUAGUGAUCAAAAGAGAUGAAUAUACAGAUGGAAAUUAGGGGGAAAUCGGGUGAAAUUUCUCAUUUCAAAUUCAAAUUUCUUGCUCCUUUUCAAGGCCAACAGGGAGCAACUGAGUUUGGUAUGAAAUUUCUCCAAAAUCCCAGAAAAUCCGAGGCAGCAGGGCUGCUGCG